UGAAUACGAGACGCUAAGGCGUCGAAGUAGUGUAUGUCAUACUUCCAAGAAAAGCUUGCACUGUCAUAGAUAAAAAACGCCUGUACCAUAACCGACACAGGUGGGUAGGUAGAGUAUACUAAGGGGCGCGAGAUAACUCUCUCUAAGGAACUCGGCAAAAUAACUCCGUAACUUCGGGAGAAGGAGUGCCUUAUUCGUAAGGUUGCAAUAACAAGAUCCAAGCAACUGUUUAUCAAAAACACAGGUCUCCGCUAAGUCGUAAGACGAUGUAUGGGGGCUGACGCCUGCCCAGUGCCAGAAGGUUAAAGAAGUUGGUUAGCAAUUGCGAAGCUGAUAACUGAAGCCCUGGUGAACGGCGGCCGUAACAAUAACGGUCCUAAGGUAGCGAAAUUCCUUGUCGGGUAAGUUCCGACCCGCACGAAAGGCGUAAUGAUUUGGAUACUGUCUCGGAGAGGGGCUCGGUGAAAUAGACUUGUCUGUGAAGAUGCGGACUACCUGCACCAGGACAGAAAGACCCUAUGAAGCUUUACUGUAACUUGAAAUUGAAAUUGGACUUUAUUCGCGCAGUAUAGGUGGGAGGCGUUGAUUAUAAUCUUGUGGGAUUAUUGGAGCCAUCAGUGAGAUACCACUCUUGUAAUGUUAGAUUUCUAACUUUGAAUCAUUAUCUGGUCAAAGAACAGUUUCAGGCGGGCAGUUUGACUGGGGCGGUCGCCUCCUAAACGGUAACGGAGGCGUACAAAGGUUUCCUCUGAACGGUUAGAAAUCGUAUCUAGAGUGUAAAGGCAUAAGGAAGCUUGACUGUGAGACCUACAAGUCGAGCAGGGACGAAAGUCGGUCUUAGUGAUCUGACGGUACUGAGUGGAAAGGCCGUCACUCAACGGAUAAAAGUUACUCUAAGGAUAACAGGCUGAUCUCCCCCAAGAGUUCACAUCGACGGGGAGGUUUGGCACCUCGAUGUCGGCUCAUCGCAUCCUGGGGCGGUAGUACGUCCCAAGGGUUGGGCUGUUCGCCCAUGAAAGCGGUACGCGAGCUGGGUUCAGAACGUCGUGAGACAGUUCGGUCCAUAUUCGGUGUAGGCGUUAGAAUAUUGAGAGGAGCCUUCUUUAGUACGAGAGGACCGAGAAGGACAUACCUCUGGUGUACCAGUUAUCGUGCCAACGGUAAACGCUGGGUAGCUAUGUAUGGAGUGGAUAACCGCUGAAAGCAUCUAAGUGGGAAGCCCACCUCAAGAUAAGUACUCUCA
rnacentral:rRNA from 1 species